CAUUCUGUGUGAAAUCGUGGCCCAUAAUUUUCAGUACAGACUGAAAGAAUGCUGCAUUGAGUGAAGCUGAAAAAUAGAGUGAAGCAUUUCAGAUGCUUGAACACUUGGUUGAAGAAUCGAUUCUAACCAUCUCUAUUAAUCUGUAAAGAACUGAAAGGAUCUGGAAAGAAGAAAAUUGGAUAUCAGAAGGACUUAGAAGAUUCAAAAGGAAUCCAGUGGACUAAUGCUGUUGAACUAUAACUACUAUACCUGUUUGUUUGUCUGUGUCCAUCUACAUGUGUGCCAAGAUGACUGGAGUGCAGUUUUGAAGUCCAGAGGAGACCCAUGAAUGGAGAGUGACUGAUCAGAAUGGGAGCAAUCAUUGACGCAGUCCAUGAUGGUGCAGUUCUUAAGAAGGAGCUUCAAGGUCAAGUUUGGCAAACGUGAAGAAUUAUAAUUCCUUGUGAAGUUUGAUGAGAUUUAAUGACCCACCAUAUCAUUAACAUUUGCGGGAGAGCUGAGAAAUCCAUAGCCUCUGUCCUGAUUGCAAUUACUAUUUGAUAUGCUCUGUAGAGUGUUUGAUCACAGUCUAUUACCCGUAUUAAUCAACAGUUAAUUUUGGGUGUUAGAAAUAAGUGGUGUAUAAAUGAUAGAUUGUAUUACUGUACGAAUGUUGUAUAGUAAGGUUUACGGAUAUUUGUUCUAAAUCAUGGAAUUGUCUAGUAAGUUGGCUGGAGCUCACAUAUUGUCAAAUGUAAAAAUAGUAGCAUUGUUAUUCCUUUUGCACAAAAUAAUGAUUUUGGAAGGUUGGAUAUUGGAGAAUUCAAUAAGGGCUACUCAACAUGAAGAUGUCUUAAAAGAGAAAAGGCAGAACAUCUUCAGGACUUGUCAGGUCAAUAUUCACUUGUCCGCCAUUAGUCUGAGUAACAAUGUCUAAUAUACUCAAAUAAUUUGUACCUGAUUGCUAUCAUGCAAUA